rnacentral:rRNA from 1 species
CAGUAGCCACGGUAAUACGGAGGGUGCAAGCGUUAAUCGGAAUUACUGGGCGUAAAGCGCACGCAGGCGGUCUGUCAAGUCAGAUGUGAAAUCCCCGGGCUUAACCUGGGAACUGCAUUUGAAACUGGCAGGCUAGAGUCUUGUAGAGGGGGGUAGAAUUCCAGGUGUAGCGGUGAAAUGCGUAGAGAUCUGGAGGAAUACCGGUGGCGAAGGCGGCCCCCUGGACAAAGACUGACGCUCAGGUGCGAAAGCGUGGGGAGCAAACAGGAUUAGAUACCCGCGUAGUCCCUGUCUCUUAUAC